CCACAUUACAUUUAACUGUUAUGCCUCCUUAGGUUCUUUGUGACUGUAACAGUCUCUUAGAAUUUCCUUGUUUCCAAUGACUUUGCCAGUUUUGAGUAGUACUGAUGAGGUAUUUAGUAGAAUGUCAGUUGGUAUUAUCUGAUGUUUUCUCAUAAUUAGAUUGGAAUUAUGGGCCUUUAGAAAGAAAACCACAGAGGUAGAGUGCCAGUCUCACCACAUCAUAUCAAGCAUGCAUACUGUAAACAUGACUUAUCACUGCUGAUGUUAACCUGGCAUUCCCACCAGUGAUGAAUGAGAGAUCCUGUUGCUCUGCAUCUUUGUCAACUAGCAAUUAAUAUGGUAAGCUUUUUGGAUUUCAAACAUUCUAAUAUAUGUGUAGUGGUAUCUCAUUGUUCUUUUAACACAUAUAUCAGGUUGAGCAUCCUUUUCAUGCUUAUUUUCCAUCUGAAUAUCUUCUUUGAUGAGGCGUUGUUCAGAUUUUUGGCCAACUUUUUGAGUUUUUUGUUUCCUUAUUGUUGACUUUUAGAAGGGUUUUUCUAGUAUAUUUUGGGAAUACAAGUCUUUGAUCAAAUAUGUGAUUUGAUUUUCUCCCAGUCAGUGAGCUGUCUUUUUAGUCUCUUGACAGUAUCUUUCACAGAGCAAAGUCUUAAUUUUAAUGUCUAACUUAUCAAUUUUUCUUUCAUAGGUCAAGCUUCUGUUAUUAUAUUAAAGAAUUCAUAUCCAAACCCAUGAUCACAUAGAUUUUCUCCUAUAUUUUCUUCAUUCCUCCAGGGAAGCAGUAAAGUAGUGUAAACAAGUUUUCCAAGGACUACUUUGGUGUCCUCAUUUGCCUCUGAGAAAAAUGCCUGCCUGAACUUUACAGGUCUCUUUUGGAGGUCAACAGAGAUUAUAAAAAAUUAAGGCACUUUGAGAAAUUCACCCAGUACAAAUGUAGUUUAACAAGUGUCACUCUAUAAUGAAAAAUCUUCCUUCAGGCUCCCUUCUUACACCAUGCCUGGGAGGAAGAAUCAUUCCCUUACUUAUGGGAGAACUUCUCAUGGUGUAAACAUUCAUUCUAGAGAGCAUUUCCCCAUCAAGCUACAGGCUGAUGCUCUGAACUGGUGCUCCCUGCAAAGCAAUUUGAUAAGAUUAAGUAUCCCCAUCCUCCAUGUUUUUCUCCCUCCUCCACUUUCCUUUUCUGAAAAGGACUGUGUGAAACCACAGGGAAAUGAUACAUUUGCACGCUAUUCAGAAAACAGCUUGGCUGUCUGGGCUUGGCAGUGGAUAAGCCCCUAUUUUAGGCUCUCUUCAACUCACCAUGCUCUGCCUAGAGGAGGCUGAAAUCAUCCUUUGCCUCCACCUCCACAUUGUAAGUUGAAUGUCAGCCACAAUCCCUGGCCACAGCACUAUCUACCAAGUAGACAUCAGCCCUACAGCAUCCAAAUCAUCUGCCAAGUCAUAUCCCAGGGGAUCGGAGGCAUGGAGUCGCAUUCAUCCUGGGGACUCGAGUUUGGCAAUGGCAAACUCAUCACUAAAUGAAAAGCUAGCCAAUUCUUGAGCUUCUGUCUUCUUUCUGAGUUUCCCUAAGUCCAAAAUUCCCUUUCAAUAAAAAGGGGAAAGUUGGGUUCUUGGCCCACAUGUAUCCUCAAUACAUUGCCAAAUCAUUCUAGCUUUCGAAUGAGUUACCUGAUGCUUACAAAAUAUGAAAUCUUUCUGAGCCUUCUCAAAUCAAAAUGGAAAGAAAAAUACUUCAGAUUGAAGAUUUCAAAUGCGAGAUCUGAAUAAUGACUCAGUUCUUUCCUUCCAUAAGCAAACUGCUAGUUUUCAAGUACAAAAUAUUCCCAAAUAAGCAAAAGCAAUGACUGUUUUCUGGAAAAGAAAAUACAGAUGAGUAACGAUACAUUCAAUAUUGAUAUUUCCAUUAGCCUGAAAUCCCAUUAAAGACAUUUGUAAUUAAUUGCAAAUAUAUUUUGAACACAGAAGAUUUAACAAGAAUACCAUGUGCACAUUACAUUCUAAUUCUGUUGAUCUAGGUCUUUCUAUCUCUGGAAACAACGUAUGUAAUGAAUACCUAACCUUUGCUAUGUGAAAUGAGGGACUAAAUGAAGCUCACAUUUAAAUGUAACUGAAAAUGUGUCAAGCGAGUUGUAAGUGAAUAAAGCAUGUCAGAAUGAUUAUUUUCUAAAGGUGGCAGACACUGAAG
rnacentral:lncRNA from 1 species